rfam:Lactobacillus saniviri JCM 17471 = DSM 24301 NODE_15, whole genome shotgun sequence.
AACCGCCGUAUACGGAACCGUACGUACGGUGGUGUGAGAGGACGGUAACUUACAAUUACCUCCUACUCGAU